AUUGAACGCUGGCGGCAGGCCUAACACAUGCAAGUCGAGCGGAUGAAGGGAGCUUGCUCCUGGAUUCAGCGGCGGACGGGUGAGUAAUGCCUAGGAAUCUGCCUGGUAGUGGGGGAUAACGUCCGGAAACGGGCGCUAAUACCGCAUACGUCCUGAGGGAGAAAGUGGGGGAUCUUCGGACCUCACGCUAUCAGAUGAGCCUAGGUCGGAUUAGCUAGUUGGUGGGGUAAAGGCCUACCAAGGCGACGAUCCGUAACUGGUCUGAGAGGAUGAUCAGUCACACUGGAACUGAGACACGGUCCAGACUCCUACGGGAGGCAGCAGUGGGGAAUCUUGGACAAUGGGCGAAGGCCUGAUCCAGCCAUGCCGCGUGUGUGAAGAAGGUCUUCGGAUUGUAAAGCACUUUAAGUUGGGAGGAAGGGCAGUAAGUUAAUACCUUGCUGUUUUGACGUUACCAACAGAAUAAGCACCGGCUAACUUCGUG
rnacentral:rRNA from 1 species